UAGGGAAUCUUCGGCAAUGGACGGAAGUCUGACCGAGCAACGCCGCGUGAGUGAAGAAGGUUUUCGGAUCGUAAAGCUCUGUUGUAAGAGAAGAACGAGUGUGAGAGUGGAAAGUUCACACUGUGACGGUAUCUUACCAGAAAGGGACGGCUAACUACGUGCCAGCAGCCGCGGUAAUACGUAGGUCCCGAGCGUUGUCCGGAUUUAUUGGGCGUAAAGCGAGCGCAGGCGGUUAGAUAAGUCUGAAGUUAAAGGCUGUGGCUUAACCAUAGUAGGCUUUGGAAACUGUUUAACUUGAGUGCAAGAGGGGAGAGUGGAAUUCCAUGUGUAGCGGUGAAAUGCGUAGAUAUAUGGAGGAACACCGGUGGCGAAAGCGGCUCUCUGGCUUGUAACUGACGCUGAGGCUCGAAAGCGUGGGGAGCAAACAGGAUUAGAUACCCUGGUAGUCCACGCUGUAAACGAUGAGUGCUAGGUGUUAGACCCUUUCCGGGGUUUAGUGCCGUAGCUAACGCAUUAAGCACUCCGCCUGGGGAGUGCGACCGCAAGGUUG
rnacentral:rRNA from 1 species